rnacentral:tRNA from 1 species
CAAAGGAUAGUUUAGUUAAAAUUCCGGUUUUGGGGGCCGGGGAAGAAGGUUAGAAUCCUUUUCUUUUGA